CCUACGGGUGGCAGCAGUGGGGGAUAUUGCACAAUGGGGGGAACCCUGAUGCAGCGACGCCGCGUGGGUGAAGGAGUGCUUCGGCAUGUAAAGCCCUAUCGGCAGGGAAGAAGCAAGACGGUACCUGACUAAGAAGCCCCGGCUAACUACGUGCCAGCAGCCGCGGUAAUACGUAGGGGGCGAGCGUUAUCCGGAUUCACUGGGUGUAAAGGGAGCGUAGACGGCCAAGCAAGCCAGGGGUGAAAGCCCGGGGCCCAACCCCGGGACUGCCCUUGGAACUGCAUGGCUGGAGUGCGGGAGGGGCAGGCGGAAUUCCUGGUGUAGCGGUGAAAUGCGUAGAUAUCAAGAGGAAUACUCAUUGCGAAGGCGACCUACUGGAACAUUACUGACGCUCAUGCACGAAAGCGUGGGGAGCAAACAGGAUUAGAUACCCCAGUAGUC
rnacentral:rRNA from 1 species